rnacentral:pre_miRNA from 1 species
AUAAGACCAACAGGUGUUAUUCUCAUGUGUGAAUGUACAAGUCUGUGAAUACAUCUGCUGGUUUUUAU